CGGUGGAUGAUGUGGAUUAAUUCGAUGCAACGCGAAGAACCUUACUACCCUUGACAUGUCCGGAACUUGCCAGAGAUGGCUUGGUGCCCGAAAGGGAACCGGAACACAGGUGCUGCAUGGCUGUCGUCAGCUCGUGUCGUGAGGUGUUCGGGUUAAGUCCCGCAACGAGCGCAACCCUUGUCCUUAGUUGCUACGCAAGGGCACUCUAAGGAGACUGCCGGUGACAAACCGGAGGAAGUGGGGAUGACGUCAAGUCCUCAUGGCCCUUAUGGGUAGGGCUUCACACGUCAUACAAUGGUCGGUACAGAGGGUUGCCAAGCCGCGAGGUGGAGCCAAUCCCACAAAGCCGAUCGUAGUCCGGAUUGUUCUCUGCAACUCGAGAGCAUGAAGUCGGAAUCGCUAAUAAUCGCAGGUCAGCAUACUGCGGUGAAUACGUUCCCGGGUCUU
rnacentral:rRNA from 1 species